rnacentral:lncRNA from 1 species
AGAUUUUAAAAUGAAAUGGGAAACGGGUGUGAAGUGUCUGUAUGCCGAUGAGCUGCUGUGCUUUCGAGUGACUCCAUGGUAAGUUGACGAUAGCUGGUCAGUCCUCUGGAAGGGCCUCAUAUACAACCUGAUCAUCUAAAAGGGUUACGGCGAUAGGCGAACAAUAGGAAAAGCCGUUUAAGUCAAGGCUGUAUGUUGUACACAGCACAGGUAGUAAAUGCAUGCUAUACCACAUCAGGCCUAUUCUGCCUGUGCUGGUGUUGUAUCUGUCUUUUGACCUACAAAUGUGUUAUGAAAGUAGUGUGAAAGAGAGACCACGAGGCUCUGAAUGACAAAGCAUCGUUCUCAUUAUUAAUAUCACGGCUGGUGGCGACCCUGGGAAUCCUCAUAGAGCUCCACGCUGUGGUUAGCAUGGGCUGAGACCAGGUAAGUAAAGAGACGUAUGCCAACUGUAUUUUAAGGGAAGGUGCUUCUGUUCCUGUUACUCAUUUUGCCUGUCUAACCUUGUUCAAACGAUGCAAGGUCUCACUACCCUGGCCGGCAUGAUUGUGUCCUCUCUUCACCUCUGCAGAGCUCUAUCAAGUUCCAGUCCUCGGAGUGACUGUGCCCAUCAUGUGGUUCUACCUCCUCAUGAAUGUCGUGACUCAAUACGUGUGCAUCCGGGGUGUGUUCAUCCUUACCA